GAUGAACGCUGGCGGCGUGCUUAAUACAUGCAAGUCGAGCGAACGGACGAGAAGCUUGCUUCUCUGAUGUUAGCGGCGGACGGGUGAGUAACACGUGGAUAACCCACCUAUAAGACUGGGAUAACCUCGGGAAACCGGAGCUAAUACCGGAUAAUAUCCUGCACCGCAUGGUUCAAAAGUGAAUGACGGUCUUGCUGUCACUUAUAGAUGGAUCUGCGCUGCAUGAGCUAGUUGGUAAGGUAACGGCUUACCAAGGCAACGAUGCAUAGCCGACCUGAGAGAGGGGUCGGCCGCCCUGGAACUUGACCGGGGUCCAGGGUACUCAGAAAGGCAGCAGUCUGGAAUGUUACGCAAUGGGCGGAAACCUGGCAGAGCAAGACCAAGUGUGUGGUGAAAGUCUUCGGUUCGUAAUGCUCUCUUAUUGGGGAAAAACAGAUGUGUAAGUAGCUGAGCAGAUCUUGACGGUACCGGAUCAGAAAGCCACGGCUAACUACGUG
rnacentral:rRNA from 1 species